UCCGGUGGUAUGAGAUGGACCCGCGUCUGAUUAGGUAGUUGGUGGGGUAACGGCCUACCAAGCCGACGAUCAGUAGCCGACCUGAGAGGGUGACCGGCCACAUUGGGACUGAGACACGGCCCAAACUCCUACGGGAGGCAGCAGUGGGGAAUAUUGCACAAUGGGGGAAACCCUGAUGCAGCGACGCCCGCGUGAGCGAUGAAGUAUUUCGGGUAUGUAAAGCUCUAUCAGCAGGGAAGAAAAUGACGGUACCUGACUAAGAAGCACCGGCUAAAUACGUGCCAGCAGCCGCGGUAAUACGUAUGGUGCAAGCGUUAUCCGGAUUUACUGGGUGUAAAGGGAGCGUAGACGGAGUGGCAAGUCUGAUGUGAAAACCCGGGGCUCAACCCCGGGACUGCAUUGGAAACUGUCAAUCUAGAGUACCGGAGAGGUAAGCGGAAUUCCUAGUGUAGCGGUGAAAUGCGUAGAUAUUAGGAGGAACACCAGUGGCGAAGGCGGCUUACUGGACGGUAACUGACGUUGAGGCUCGAAAGCGUGGGGAGCAAACAGGAUUAGAUACCCUGGUAGUCCACGCCGUAAACGAUGACUACUAGGUGUCGGGCAGCAAAGCUGUUCGGUGCCGCAGCAAACGCAAUAAGUAGUCCACCUGGGGAGUACGU
rnacentral:rRNA from 1 species